CCUACGGGAGGCAGCAGUGAGGAAUAUUGGACAAUGGGCGCAAGCCUGAUCCAGCCAUGCCGCGUGCAGGAUGACGGUCCUAUGGAUUGUAAACUGCUUUUGCACAGGAAGAAACAACUCUACGUGUAGAGUCUUGACGGUACUGUGAGAAUAAGGAUCGGCUAACUCCGUGCCAGCAGCCGCGGUAAUACGGAGGAUCCAAGCGUUAUCCGGAAUCAUUGGGUUUAAAGGGUCCGUAGGCGGUUUAGUAAGUCAGUGGUGAAAGCCCAUCGCUCAACGGUGGAACGGCCAUUGAUACUGCUAGACUUGAAUUAUUAGGAAGUAACUAGAAUAUGUAGUGUAGCGGUGAAAUGCUUAGAGAUUACAUGGAAUACCAAUUGCGAAGGCAGGUUACUACUAAUGGAUUGACGCUGAUGGACGAAAGCGUGGGUAGCGAACAGGAUUAGAUACCCUGGUAGUCCACGCCGUAAACGAUGGAUACUAGCUGUUGGGCGCAAGUUNUAGUGGNGUAGAGAAGUAGAGUAAGUAUCCCACCGUCGGGGUAGGUACGGUUCGUCGAAGAAAGAGAAACGUAACGAAAGGAAAGUUAGGUACGGACGUGGAGACGUACGACCGAACGGACGGACCGACGGAGGGGAGGGUUAGGG
rnacentral:rRNA from 1 species